AACGUGAAAUCGUUCAAAAAUUGUAAUUUUUAUGCAUUGCAAAAAUUAAAAAAAAAAUAGAAAAGAUGUUAUUCAAAAUUUAUGAAAAUUUUAUUAUAAUAAAAAUAAUAAAAGCAGGAAGAAGCAAAGCUACGAUAAAGUAAAAAGAUAAAAAAAAAAAAUACAUACAUACGUACAUACAUAUAUACACAUAUAUGUAUGUAUGUAUAUAUAUAUAUAUAUAUAUAUACAUAAAAUAAAUAAGAAAAUGACAAUCGACGUAAAAUGGAUAGAGUUUGUAUGGAAGUGUAUUCAAAACAAAAGUGGAUAAAAUAAUAUACACUUUUUUUUUUUUUUUUUUUUUUUUUUUUUGGUACUAUAUUAUAAAAUUUACAACAUUAUAUAUAUGUGAACACAUAUAUAUGUACAUAAAAAAAAUUAUAAAAAGAAUAUGAAUAUAAGAAAAAAUGUAACUUCUAUAGUAAAUAAAAUGAAGAAUGAUUAUUCAGGAGAUAAGGAAAAAAAAUGUACUAGCAGUUGUAGUAGUAAUUGGUCGGUAGAUACUAAAGAAACAAAAAAUAGAUACGUUCAUGAGGAAAAGAAUAAAAAUAAUUUUUUAAAUAAAUAUAGUAACACUAGCGUUGUUAAAAGUAAAUCAAAUUCGUAUGAAUCAACGAAUGUGAGUUGUAGUAAAGGUAACAAAAAAGAACAAACGAGUACAAGUUUACAGGUAGAGCUAAAGACUGAAUAUGACGAAUUACAAGAGCAUGGCGAAUUACAAGGGCAUGACGAAUUACAAGAGCAUGACGAAUUACAAGAGCAUGACGAAUUAAAAGGGCAUGACGAAUUACAAGGGCAUGACGAAUUACAAGGACAUGACGAAUUACAGCGCGAACAUAAUGAUAAAAAUAUAACAGAUAAUAAGAGGGAUGAAAAAAAAAACACCAUUUUUCACAAAGAAGGUAGUGAUAAAUAUUUAAAUAAAAAUGAGAAAGAAGAAGAAGCAAAAAAAAAAAUUAGGCAACAUGACUUUUCAAAUAUAGAAAAUAGUUCUUUUCCCCAAAAAAGCAUUUCCAAUUCUAAUAAUAUGAUAAAUAACGUAUAUGAAUAUAACCAUAAUGUCAUAUAUCACGAAUUGUACAUUGAGCUACUACACGUAAAUAAAAAGUUACAAAAUGAAAUUAAUAAUUUAAAGAAAACAAUUGAAAUGCAAAAGACAAUAAUUAAAAGUAAAGAAAAUUAUCUGUCAAAUGACAUGAAUAGGAAUAAAAAAUUAAAUAAUGUAAAAUUUGUGAAUAAUAAUUAUUUUUCAAAUUUUUUCAAUAAAAAAAAAAAAAAAAGUAAAGAUAGUUUUUUUUCUAUAUCUUCUAAAACUGGAAGUACAUUGAAAAGUAAUUUUUUUAGUAGUUACAAAAAAACAGAAAAAGAAAAAAAAAAAAAAAGAGAAAAAAAAGAGAACGUUGUAAAAACUAGUGGUAAUGAUGAUAGUGCAGGCAUAUUUUUAGAAUGUGAAAAAGUAUAUAGUAACGAACUUGAGUUUUCUGAAAUUAAAUUAAAUAAAGAAAAAGAGAAAAAAAAAAAAUAUAAAAAUAAAAGUAGUUAUGAAAUAAAUGAAUACAAACAUUUACCAUUAAGUGAUGAAGAGUAUAUAAAAUAUAUGUCCAACGAAGAAAAUGUAACAACACAUGUUAUUGAUAAGACAAAAUAUGAAGUUAAUAGUGGCUCACAUAAUAAUGAUGGAUAUAGUAUUAAUAAUAAAAUAGAAAAAAGUUGUUUAGGUACCGCAGAAAAAACAAACCUGGGCUAUUCAAAUGAAAAAAUAAAAAAAGAGAAAAUAGAAAGUAGUACAACAUAUGGAAAAGAUAAAAAAGUUAAAGAGGAUAACGUUAAGGAUGAAAUGUUAAAUAUACAAGAAGUAACUUCUUUGACAUUUUGGUAUGAAGAAAUAUUACCAUUAAUUAAUAAUGAAAAAAAAAAAAAAAAUUUAAUAGACUUAGUUAAAAUAAAUCCAAUGCCAAAAAUAAUAAAAACGUAUUUUUGGGAGAUGAAUAUAAUUAAUAAACUAAAUUUAACUGAUCAAUUUGUUCAAACUUUAAUAAAAAAUACAAAUUUUAUACAGUCCUAUAUAUAUACAUAUAAUAAGCAGUAU
ensembl:lncRNA